UUAAAAAUAAUAAAUAAAUAAAUGGACAAAUAAAAAUUAAAUGAAUAAAAUAGAUAAAGUGAAUGAAUUUGAAACGUUGGGAUUUUAAAAGAAUUAUUUGAUGACGUGAUUUUAAAAAAAAAUGAAAAUUUUAACAUGAAAAAUGGGAUUAAGAAGAUGGCACGUGGGAGAAAGUGGAAAAAAUAAUAAUAAACCAUCUUGAAACCUGCUGGAACCCUGCUACUAAUGGAAAAUAAAAAAAAAUAAUAAAAAACUCAUGUCUUUGACUUUUAUCCACCAAUUUGCUUAAACAAUGCCAUCAGUGGGAAACAAAAGGGCUUCGGCAUAUCCCUCCUUGAGGCAAAC
rnacentral:lncRNA from 1 species